CUACGGGAGGCAGCAGUGGGGAAUAUUGCACAAUGGGCGGAAGCCUGAUGCAGCGACGCCGCGUGGGGGAUGAAGGCCUUCGGGUUGUAAACUCCUUUCGACAGGGACGAAGCGUAAGUGACGGUACCUGUAUAAGAAGCACCGGCUAACUACGUGCCAGCAGCCGCGGUAAU
rnacentral:rRNA from 1 species